UAUGGCCAUAUCAUGUUGAAACACUGGUUCUUGUAUGAUCAUCAAAGUUAAGCGAUGUCAAGCUUGAUCAGUACCUAGACGGAUGACCACUUGGGAAUACCACAUGCUAU